GAUGAAGAACGCAGCGAAAUGCGAUACGUAAUGUGAAUUGCAGAAUUCAGUGAAUCAUCGAAUCUUUGAACGCACAUUGCACUCUCUGGUAUUCCGGAGAGUAUGCUUGUUUGAGUAUCAGUAAACACCUCAAAUCUCUUGUUUCUUGUGAAUAAGAGAAUUGGACUUGAGCAAUCCCAACUCUUGCAAAAGAGGCGGGUUGCUUGAAAUGCAGGUGCAGCUGGACAUUCUUCUGAGCUAAAAGCAUAUUUAUUUAGUCCCGCAAAACGGAUUAUUACUUUUGCUGCAGCUAACAUAAAGGUUGAAUGGCCAAUAUGGCUGACUGAUGCAGGAUUAACAGAGAAUUUAUUCUUUGUAAACUCGAUCUCAAAUCAAGUAAGACUACCCGCUGAACUUAAGCAUAUCAAUAAGCGGAGGA
rnacentral:misc_RNA from 1 species